GACGAACGCUGGCGGCGUGCUUAACACAUGCAAGUCGAACGGAAAGGCCCUGCUUUUGUGGGGUGCUCGAGUGGCGAACGGGUGAGUAACACGUGAGUAACCUGCCCUUGACUUUGGGAUAACUUCAGGAAACUGGGGCUAAUACCGGAUAGGAGCUCCUGCUGCAUGGUGGGGGUUGGAAAGUUUCGGCGGUUGGGGAUGGACUCGCGGCUUAUCAGCUUGUUGGUGGGGUAGUGGCUUACCAAGGCUUUGACGGGUAGCCGGCCUGAGAGGGUGACCGGCCACAUUGGGACUGAGAUACGGCCCAGACUCCAACGGGAGGCAGCAGUGGGGAAUAUUGCACAAUGGGCGGAAGCCUGAUGCAGCGACGCCGCGUGCGGGAUGACGGCCUUCGGGUUGUAAACCGCUUUCGCCUGUGACGAAGCGUGAGUGACGGUAAUGGGUAAAGAAGCACCGGCUAACUACGUG
rnacentral:rRNA from 1 species